UACGAAGGGUGCAAGCGUUAUCCGGAUUCACUGGGUUUAAAGGGGGCGUAGGCGGGUUGGUAAGUCCGUGGGGAAAUCCCCAAGCUUAACUUGGGAACUGCCGUGGAUACUAUCAAUCUUGAAUAUCGUGGAGGUAAGCGGAAUAUGUCAUGUAGCGGUGAAAUGCUUAGAUAUGACAUAGAACACCAAUUGCGUAGGCAGCUUACUACACGAUCAUUGACGCUGAGGCACGAAAGCGUGGGGAUCAAACAGG
rnacentral:rRNA from 1 species